AGAGAAAAACAUUGAUGUUAAAGAAAAGAGAAUCUGGCUGCUGAAAUAAGACGAAUUUCUGAUGAACUAAAGGAAGGGCAAUACAUUGAUAAUGUAGUAAAGAAACUAGCCGUCGGUAUAACUGAUGAAAUAAGACGAGUUUCUGAUGAAAGUAUAGCAGAGAAAGUGCAAAACAUUGAUAAUGUUGUAAAGAAUAUGAACGCCAGUAUAACUGCUGAAAUAAGACGAGUUUCUGAUGAACGUAUAGCAGAGAAAGGUAAUCAAUGUAUUUGAGGUCUCAAUUGUGAUUACUUUCAACCAUGAAGACUUAAA